GACGAACGCUGGCGGCGUGCUUAACACAUGCAAGUCGAACGGUAAGGCUUCAUCUUGCUGUGGUACACGAGUGGCGAACGGGUGAGUAACACGUGGGUCACAUUCCCUACACUUCGGGAUAAGCCUGGCAAACUGGGUCUAAUACCGGAUAGGACCAUGUUGUUCAUACUUUGGUGGAAAGUUUUUUCGGCGUGGGAUGGGCCCGCGGCCUAUCAGCUUGUUGGUGGGGUAAUGUCCUACCAAGGCGGCGACGAGUAGCCGGCCUGAGAGGGUGGACGGCCUCAAUGGGACUGAGACACGGCCCAGACUCCUACGGGAGGCAGCAGUCGGGAAUAUGGCACAAUGGGCGGAAGCCUGAUGCAGCGACGCCGCGUGGGGGAUAACGGCCUUCGGGUUGUAAACUCCUUUCACCAUCGACGAAGGGUUUCUGGCGGUGGAUGGAGAAGAAGCACCGGCUAACUACUUG
rnacentral:rRNA from 1 species